rnacentral:rRNA from 1 species
UAUACCUACGGGGGGCAGCAGUGGGGAAUAUUGCACAAUGGGGGGAACCCUGAUGCAGCGACGCCGCGUGAAGGAAGAAGUAUUUCGGUAUGUAAACUUCUCUCAGCAGGGAAGAAAAUGACGGUACCUGACUAAGAAGCCCCGGCUAACUACGUGCCAGCAGCCGCGGUAAUACGUAGGGGGCAAGCGUUAUCCGGAUUUAUUGGGUGUAAAGGGAGCGUAGGCGGCGAUGCAAGUCAGAAGUGAAAGCCCGGGGCUCAACUCCGGAACUGCUUUUGAAACUGUGUUGCUAGAUUGCAGGAGAG